rnacentral:rRNA from 1 species
UGGGGAAUUUUGGACAAUGGGCGCAAGCCUGAUCCAGCCAUGCCGCGUGCGUGAAGAAGGCCUUCGGGUUGUAAAGCUCUUUUGUCAGGGAAGAAACGGUAGUAGCGAAUAACUAUUACUAAUGACGGUACCUGAAGAAUAAGCACCGGCUAACUACGUGCCAGCAGCCGCGGUAAUACGUAGGGUGCAAGCGUUAAUCGGAAUUACUGGGCGUAAAGCGUGCGCAGGCGGUUGUGUAAGUCAGAUGUGAAAUCCCCGGGCUCAACCUGGGAAUUGCAUUUGAGACUGCACGGCUAGAGUGUGUCAGAGGGGGGUAGAAUUCCACGUGUAGCAGUGAAAUGCGUAGAUAUGUGGAGGAAUACCGAUGGCGAAGGCAGCCCCCUGGGAUAACACUGACGCUCAUGCACGAAAGCGUGGGGAGCAAACAGGAUUAGAUACCCUGGUAGUCCCUGAGCGGGCUGGCAAGGCGCAU